rnacentral:lncRNA from 1 species
GGCAGACUACAGACGACAAUCUAUACUGGCAGACUACAGGUUAGAUACUUACUGGCAGACUACAUACUAUACUGGCAGACUACAGGCUUCAUACUAUACUGGCAGACUACAGACUAUACUGGCAGACUACAGGCUACAUACUAUACUGGCAGACUACAGGCUACAUACUAUACUGGCAGACUAUAUACUAUACUGGCAGACUACAGACGACAUACUAUACUGGCAGACUACAGACGACAAUCUAUACUGGCAGACUACAGGUUAGAUACUUACUGGCAGACUACAUACUAUACUGGCAGACUACAGGCUUCAUACUAUACUGGCAGACUACAGACUAUACUGGCAGACUACAGGCUACAUACUAUACUGGCAGACUACAGGCUUCAUAAUAUACUGGCAGACUACAGACUAUACUGGCAGACUACAGGCUACAUACUAUACUGGCAGACUAUAUACUAUACUGGCAGACUACAGGCUACAUACUAUAUUGGCAGACUAUAUACUAUACUGGCAGACUACAGACUAUACUGGCAGACUGCAGGCUACAUACUAUACUGGCAGACUACAAGCUUCAUACUAUACUGGCAGACUACAGACUAUACUGGCAGACUAUAUACUAUACUGGCAGACUACAGGCUACAUACUAUACUGGCAGACUAUAUACUAUACUGGCAGACUACAGGCUACAUACUAUACUGGCAGACUAUAUACUAUACUGGCAGACUACAGGCUACAUACUAUACUGGCAGACUAUAUACUAUACUGGCAGACUACAGGCUACAUACUAUAUUGGCAGACCAUAUACUAUACUGGCAGACUGCAGGCUACAUACUAUAUUGGCAGACUAUAUACUAUACUGGCAGACUACAGGCUACAUACUAUACUGGCAGACAACAAGCUCCAUACUAUACUGGCAGACUACAUACAUACUGGCAGACAACAAGCUCCAUACUAUACUGGCAGACUACAGG